GUAAUGUUACAACUGAAAUCGUCUGCAAAAUAAAAAGAUAAAAAAAAACCUUAAAACAAAAGUAUUUAUGUUCAAAGCAGUUAUUUUAUCGACUGUACCGCUGAGGUGAGAACAAUAGUUCCCACCUCCCCCCGAGACGUAGGUUCGGCUGGCGCAGACACUGCGCAGCCGCCGGCAGUCGUCACUAGACUUCCUUAUUAGUCUUACGUUUGUAUUCGAGUUCAGUUAAAGUUCGUUUUCAAACCUAGACGACUUACCUACAAAUAAUUUAUUUAAAAAAAAAAUUUAGUACAGCAAUAUCGUGUGCUGUUUAAUAUUAACACGAUUAAAAUAAACGGAUUCGACCCCGCUUUUAGGGGUUCAUGCCUAGCUGUUUUUUUCACGCUUCUUGCUUAUUGCUUCACCCGAUAACUGCGUGUGCUGAAAAGGUCAUCUCCACCCAGUAACCCGUACCCUGGUGAUCUA